CCUACGGGAGGCAGCAGUGAGGAAUAUUGGUCAAUGGACGAGAGUCUGAACCAGCCAAGUAGCGUGAGGGAUGACUGCCCUGUGGGUUGUAAACUUCUUUUAUAAGGGAAUAAAGCGAGGCACGUGUGCCUUUUUGCGUGUACUUUAUGAAUAAGGAUCGGCUAACUCCGUGCCAGCAGCCGCGGUAAUACGGAGGAUCCGAGCGUUAUCCGGAUUUAUUGGGUUUAAAGGGAGCGUAGAUGGGUUGUUAAGUCAGUUGUUAAAGUUCGGGGCUCAACCGUAAAAUUGCAGUUGAUACUGGCAGUCUUGAGUACAGUUGAGGUAGGCGGAAUUCGUGGUGUAGCGGUGAAAUGCUUAGAUAUCGCGAAGAACCCCGAUUGCGAAGGCAGCUUACUAAACUGAGACUGACAUUGAUGCUCGAAAGUGUGGGUAUCAAACAGGAUUAGAUACCCUUGUAGUC
rnacentral:rRNA from 1 species